CCUACGGGCGGCAGUCGAGAAUCUUUCGCAAUGGGCGAAAGCCUGACGAAGCGACGCCGUGUGAGCGAAGAAGGCCUUCGGGUUGUAAAGCUCUUUCGCUAGGGAACAAGGGAAGCAGGAUAAUACCCUGCUGACUUGAGGGUACUUGGUAAAGAAGCACCGGCUAACUCCGUGCCAGCAGCUGCGGUAAUACGGAGGGUGCAAGCAUUGAUCGGAAUGAGCGGGCGUAAGGGCGGGGUAGGCAGACGUGAAAUGCCGGGGCUCAACCCCGGAGCUGCAUUUGAAACUUCUUGGCUAGAGGAUGGUUAGGGAAAACGGAAUUCCACGUGUAGCGGUGAAAUGCGUAGAUAUGUGGAAGAACACCGGUGGUGAAGACGGUUUUCUGGGCCAAACCUGACGCUGAGGCGCGAAAGCUAGGGGAGCAAACAGGAUUAGAUACCCCAGUAGUC
rnacentral:rRNA from 1 species